rnacentral:lncRNA from 1 species
GCUUUGUGAAGAAGACAUUUCCUGAUUAGAAUCAAUAGCCAGAAUAUUAAAUAUUGAUAGAAAAGAGAGGGAGCGUUAGAGUGAGCAUUGAACUACAGUCACUGUCUAAUCCAGUACACAGAAAGGAUCUAGUCAUCCGUCUGACUGAUGAUACAGAUCCAUUUUUUCUGUAUAACCUUGUUAUAUCCGAGGAAGACUUUCAAAGUUUAAAAUUGCAGCAAGGUCUCCUGGUGGACUUCUUAUCUUUUCCACAGAAGUUUAUAGACCUCCUUCAGCAAUGUAUGCAGGAGCAUGUGAAAGAGACUCCAAGGUUUCUGCUGCAGCUCACGUCUUCAGCUGCUCUUUUGGAUAACUCGCCGGUGUUUUUAAAUGUAGUGGAGACAAAUCCUUUUAAGCAUCUUAUUCACCUGUCACUAAAGCUUUUACCUGGAAAUGAUGUAGAAAUAAAGAAAUUUCUAGCAGGAUGCUUGAAAUGUAGCAAGGAAGAAAAAUUAUCACUGACUAAAUCACUAGAUGAUGUUACCAGGCAACUGCACAUUACACAAGAGACACUCUCGGAAAAGAUGCAGGAACUAGAUAAGUUGCGGAGUGAGUGGGCCUCGCACACAGCA